rnacentral:rRNA from 1 species
UGCGUAGGGGGCGAGCGUUGUCCGGAUUUAUUGGGCGUAAAGAGCUCGUAGGCGGUUUGGUAAGUUGGAUGUGAAAUCUCCAGGCUCAACUUGGAGGGGUCAUUCGAUACUGCCAUGACUAGAGUUCGGUAGGGGAGUGUGGAAUUCCUGGUGGAGCGGUGAAAUGCGCAGAUAUCAGGAGGAACACCCGUAGCGAAGGCGGCACUCUGGGCCGGAACUGACGCUGAGGAGCGAAAGCGUGGGGAGCGAACAGG